rnacentral:lncRNA from 1 species
GGGCUUGUGCAGAUGGAUUCACGGAGAGGCAAUGCUGAAGGGAAGGAGAUGGAGGCUGGCCACAGGCACCAAGCAGCUCCACACCCACUGGAAGCCAGAGAGAGCCCUUUCUGUGGAUGCUGGCGAGCUUUGGAGCAGAUGUGACAGCAGCUGUGCAAGAACAGUGAUCAAAAAAACACUACAUGGAACCCCAGCAGCACAGGUAAAAGAGGUGAAGGGAAAAGUGGUGAAAAUGAGAAGUGGGAGGGUUCCUAGAGCCUGAUGCAUAAGCACAUAUCCCCAGCAGUUCACAUGUAAUGGGAAAUGUGAUCCGCAGCACCCCUGGGUCAUGCACAUAUUUUUACAAGGAAAAGGUCUCCCACCCCCACAGACUGGCCUUCAGCCACUUAGGCCAUCAGCCUCCAAGUCCCACAGCCCAUUCCUUGUAGCCUGCUUUUAGGCUCAGGCUUUGGCCCAUCCUGCCUCCUGGGCUGCGC